GGGGCCUGACACUCUUGGACACAGAUGUCGGCUACGGCAGCGGCUUCAAAUACGCUUUGGUGACCAUAUUUCUAAUCGAGAGUUGUGCGAACGAGCCAGACAAACCAGCUGGGAGGACGGAAGCACCCCUUCUCCAUCCGCGUUCAGUAACUGAAUACGGAUUCACCCCGUAGUCAACAGCAGACAGGGUCCUUCCACAACCACAUACUUAUGCCAGUAAAAGCUACAGCUUUUCUCCUCCGAUCCAAGAAGCCUGGACUGCAGUCACCAUCUCAACACACCAACCAAGAGAAAGGCGGAUGGCUCAAUUCAAUAUGGAAAAUUGCACAAUAAAAGUUCCAGGACAUGAAGGCUGCAUACUGUGAACGUCAACCUUCAGGGCACCGUCCUGCGCAGAAGACUUUCUACCCUAAGAGGGAUGGCUGACCGCAGACACUCACAACCAGCACAGACGCCUCCAACCUCAGACUAGGCCCUUCACAGUUGCUGCACUUACCCACCUUCCCAGAGUUUUUGUGUGGUAAUGACAACUGUAAAUAUAGUAUAAAGUAAUGUAUCUAG